rnacentral:rRNA from 1 species
AGAGUUUGAUCAUGGCUCAGAUUGAACGCUGGCGGAAUGCUUUACACAUGCAAGUCGAGCGGCAGCGCGGGGCAACCUGGCGGCGAGCGGCGAACGGGUGAGUAAUGCAUCGGAACAUGUCCAUGUCGUGGGGGAUAGCCCGGCGAAAGCCGGAUUAAUACCGCAUACGCCCGAGAGGGGAAAGCGGGGGACCGCAAGGCCUCGCGCGAUUGGAUUGGCCGAUGUCCGAUCAGCUAGUUGGCGGGGUAACGGCCCACCAAGGCGAUGAUCGGUAGCUGGUCUGAGAGGAUGAUCAGCCACACUGGGACUGAGACGCGGCCCAGACUCCUACGGGAGGCAGCAGUGGGGAAUUUUGGACAAUGGGGGAAACCCUGAUCCAGCCAUUCCGCGUGAGUGAAGAAGGCCUUCGGGUUGUAAAGCUCUUUUGUCCGGAACGAAACGGGUAGCGUGAAUAUCGCUGCCUACUGACGGUACCGGAAGAAUAAGCACCGGCUAACUACGUGCCAGCAGCCGCGGUAAUAC